rnacentral:lncRNA from 1 species
AAGUUCAGGGCUGGUGCUCUCGUUCAGAUAGAUUUAGCUGGUGGUGCAGAGAUCCGUGAGCUUGCUUUUACAGGACUUUAAUGAUAUAUAAAAGCAGCACGAGGUGCUCCUGACUGUGGAUUAAUUUGGAGAUGACUUUCUCUGUUGAAGAGUAGCAAGACUCUCGCGAGUUCUUAAAAAUGCACUUGUUUGGUAUGAGAAUGAAAAGCAGUGGCUGAAGAACCAAUCUUCAAUGGGCAAGCCUUCUCUGUGUCUGUUCUAACACGUGCCAUUUGGGAUCCCUUGGAAUCUUCAUGUACAGAACUGGUUGCUGCCUCGUUGAGUCGGUGGGGACAGAAUAGCUCCUGGUUGACAGCAUGGGUUGUGCAGAAGGACGGAUCCUGCAGACAUCAAUAUCUGGCUUUGAGUGGCACAAAGAAAUAAAGGAAUGUGGAUUCAGACCUCACUGGGAUGCUUGGCAAUUCUAAUUCUACCCCAGACUGCAAAUGGACACACAACUGUUGUGACUUUUGUUGAAGAGGAGAAGGAUGGCACAGAAGCUGGAUUCAGAAGCACACAGGUCUGGGGAUGCAGGCUUCGGCCAGCCUGAUGCAAGGAAAGACUGCCAUCUCGUGGUCAGCUCAAUCCUGGCACCUUGGUGAGGGACCAGGCUGCAGAAAACCAGGCUUGGGGAGGAAACGGUGCUGCAAACUGGAUUUCUGCCGGACAGUGUGGAUGCCCUUAGAAAACACCCAGAAAAGAGCUGAGUGCCCCCCAAGACUUGCCCUGAAUUCUUUCAUGUGCAAUAUCCGAAAACCCUCUCUUGGGGCCUGGAUCAGGACCCCUUUCCUAUAACAUCUUUCUGGCGACAACAAAGGGACAAUGGUGUGGAAUCCCCCUUCCCAAAUGCUACUUUUAGAUAUCACCUUUUGUCGGAACUUGGAGUUGGUAAUGACCUUCACCAUACCACCACUCUGGGACUGAGCUUCUCUCUACCCUGAUGCAAGAGACCCUAAUAGGCAGGAAUAUGACCACCCCUAUUCAGCCUGAAGAAGUUACAGAAGUUCUGAAACCCUUAGAAAUGAGGGUCUUCUUGUAAAGGGAGUGGGGAGAUAUAUCAGAGGCAUUUGAACCAGAGCAACUCCAUCUUGAGUGAGGGCUAGGAAAAUGAGGCUAGGACUUGCUGGGCUGCAUUCUCAGAAAGUCAGUCAUUCCUAGCCUCUAGAUGUUUACGGUUAAGGGAACAAAUUUAUAACAUUUACUAAACACACCCAGACUUGGGAGUGUCCAGAUAUCCCAAUAUCUGGAGAACAAAGGCAUUCCUAAUUUUGCUUUAAAGACAAUAAUAUUGAUUCUUGCAAAAUAUAGUAAUUAAGAAAAUUAAUCCUUUAUCACAAACCCUUGUAGUAAAACACAUCUCCCCAUAUAUACAAGCAUUGUACCUAAGGUGGAUGCGUUCCAUCUCUUACUUUCAGGAAUGUCCUACACUAUCUAAGGAGUAGCUGUACUUUCACCACUUUACUUUCUUAAUAAACUUGUUUUUACUUUGCACCAA